GUGUCAGCCGCCGCGGUAAUACGGAGGGUGCAAGCGUUAUCCGGAAUCACUGGGUUUAAAGGGUGCGUAGGUGGCAUCGUAAGUCAGAAGUGAAAGUUUGCGGCUUAACCGUAAAAUUGCUUUUGAUACUGCAAUGCUUGAAUCAGGUUGAGGUUGGCGGAAUGUGGCAUGUAGCGGUGAAAUGCUUAGAUAUGCCAUAGAACACCGAUUGCGAAGGCAGCUGACUGGACCUGUAUUGACGCUGAGGCACGAAAGCGUGGGGAGCGAACAGGAUUAGAUACCCGGGUAGUCC
rnacentral:rRNA from 1 species